GCUCCUGGGAAAUAACCACUAAAGUCUUGAAAUGUCUUGAGUGAUUGGAGGACCUUUAUUUUACACACCUGAUGCCUUAUGCUGAUGAGAUGACUCAGCAGGGGAUGGCCAGGCCAGAAAGACCAAAACUAUACCCUGAGGUUUGAGUUUCUGAGCCAGGUGACAUCAUCCUCCAGCUUGGCCGGCCUCUGCCUGGGAGCCUCUGGUGUGAAAGACAUGGAGGGCAGAUUUAUUAAAAUCAUCAACUUCACAUUAUUUGGAUGGAAACAUUGCCAAAUCAUAGAGAUGUUUGGUACCACCCCCGCGCCAAGCAGCUAGAAGUGCAGGAUCAGCUUAUUCACCUCCGAAAGCCUGCAUGCAACCACUGAGGUCACCUCUAUUUUUUACAUAGUUCUACUUGGUGUAUGUAACCCCACAGAGAAACAUGGAAGAAUGCAUGAAACCUAGUAAGGCAACCAGCACAUGCGACAGAAUGAACCAUUUCUUUCCAUCUGAAUACAUAAAUGUGGACUCUGAUCCUUUCUACCAAGUCCCAAGCUUGGGAAUAGAGGACGGACAAGGAGAGGGGCUCAGUCCCAUAUCAUAAUGUGCUUGUGAAUGGCUAAAAUUACAAUGCUGAAAUAAGUGUGUGUAAUAAAAUAAUUGUACCGAAUUGAAGAAUGUUUCACUGUUUAUUUU
rnacentral:lncRNA from 1 species